GAUGAACGCUGGCGGCGUGCUUAACACAUGCAAGUCGAACGGAAAGGCCCAAGCUUGCUUGGGUACUCGAGUGGCGAACGGGUGAGUAACACGUGGGUGAUCUGCCCUGCACUUCGGGAUAAGCCUGGGAAACUGGGUCUAAUACCGGAUAGGACGAUGGUUUGGAUGCCAUUGUGGAAAGUUUUUUCGGUGUGGGAUGAGCUCGCGGCCUAUCAGCUUGUUGGUGGGGUAAUGGCCUACCAAGGCGUCGACGGGUAGCCGGCCUGAGAGGGUGUACGGCCACAGUGGGGCUGAGAUACGGCCCAGACUCCUACGGGAGGCAGCAGUGGGGAAUAUUGCACAAUGGGCGCAAGCCUGAUGCAGCGACGCCGCGUGGGGGAUGACGGCCUUCGGGUUGUAAACUCCUUUCGCUAGGGACGAAGCGUUUUUGUGACGGUACCUGGAGAAGAAGCACCGGCUAACUACGUG
rnacentral:rRNA from 1 species